rnacentral:lncRNA from 1 species
AUGAGUUUUGAACCUGGCCAUUGCUUUUAUUAUCGUAGUUCAGUAAUGUUUCUGGCACACAGUAGGCAUUCAACAAACAUUUUCUGGCUAAAUGAGUGUAUCAGUGGUUUAAUUUGCAAGGCAUCACCAUCAAGGAACACCUGCAACAGUAACAUAAAAAUUUUGCAGCUGGUUAUUUAUUGGUCUUGGCAGAAGCAGAAUCAAAAAGUUCUAGUUAACAAGGAAUCACUGGAAACCAAGACCGGACAGCCAAGCUAGCCUGAGGUAUGCAGCAGAGAGCAACAAGAAAACCCUGUCUCAAAACAAGGUGGAAGAACUUGAAGCCAGGUGUAAAGGUCAAGUCCAGGGGUCUAGAGAGGUGAUUUAAGGAAGAGUACUCACCGCUUACAGAAGACCCAGAUCCACUUCCGAACAUUUACAAGGUAGAUGGUAACUGUUACUGCAUUUCCAGGGGACCCAAUACUCCGUGG